rnacentral:rRNA from 1 species
CGCGUAGGAAACUGCCUAGUAGUGGGGGAUAGCCCAGAGAAAUUUGGAUUAAUACCGCAUACGCCCUACGGGGAAAGGGGGCGUUCGGCUCUCGCUAUUAGAUGUGCCUGCGUAAGAUUAGCUUGUUGGUGAGGUAAUGGCUCACCAAGGCGACGAUCUUUAGCUGGUCUGAGAGGAUGAUCGGCCACACUGGAACUGAGACACGGCCCGGACUCCUACGGGAGGCAGCAGUGGGGAAUAUUGGACAAUGGGGGAAACCCGUGAUCCAGCCAUGCCGCGUGUGUGAAGAAGGCCUUUUGG